rnacentral:rRNA from 1 species
GGGUUGGUAAAUUUCGUGCCAGCCACCGCGGUCAUACGAUUAACCCAAACUAAUAAACACCCGGCGUAAAGCGUGAUUAGAACAUAANNAACAAAAANNNNNUAAAAUCAAAUAACAACUAAGCUGUAAAAAGUAAUAGUUGCAAACAAAAAUAAACGACGAAAGUGAUUUUAUAGCCUUCGAACUCACGAUAGCUAAGAUCCAAACUGGGAUUAGAUACCCCACUAUGCUUAGCCUUAAACCUAAAUAAUUUUAUNAACAAAAUUAUUCGCCAGAGAACUACAAGCCAGAGCUUAAAACUCAAAGGACUUGGCGGUGCUUUAUACCCGCCUAGAGGAGCCUGUUCUAUAAUCGAUAAACCCCGAUAAACCUUACCACUCUUUGCCAACNUCAGCCUAUAUACCGCCAUCUUCAGCAAACCCUAAAAAGGAGCAAAAGUAAGCUCAAUCAUCACNCAUAAAAACGUUAGGUCAAGGUGUAGCCUAUAGAGUGGAAAGCAAUGGGCUACAUUUNUCUACNNNNUUUAGAAUACNNACGAAAGCCCCUAUGAAACUCUAGAGACCAAAGGAGGAUUUA